UCUUUCUUUCUAAUGGCUCUCUCUCAAAAAACCAUGCUCCUAAUAUCUCUCUUCUUCCUCAUCUCUCCUUCUCUUUCAGCCAAAGAGAACAAGUACCUGAGCAACACCACUUUUAAUUAUUUUCCUUGUUCCCUCUCACUACUUCUCAACUUUCUCUCUCUCCAAACACAUCCAAACCUCUCCAUCAUGCCUCUCUCAUUUCAAACUCCAAGCGAAUCCCAAGACUCAUAUCGUACAACCACAAGCUCUCCUUCAAGUAUUCAAUGGCUCCGAUUGUUUCUCUCCCCAUAGGCACUCCUCCACAGACCCAGCAGAUGGUUUUGGACACUGGCAGCCAGCUCUCAUGGAUUCAGUGCCACAAGAAGACCCAGUCAAAGCCCCCACCUCCUCCGAUGGCGUCGUUUGACCCUUCUCUCUCCUCUACUUUCUCUGUCUUGCCUUGUACUCACCCUAUUUGCAAACCUCGAGUUCCCGAUUUUACCCUCCCGACCUCUUGCGACCAAAACAAACUCUGCCACUACUCCUACUUCUAUGCUGAUGGUACUUUGGCCGAGGGCAAUCUCGUCCGAGAAAAAUUUACUUUUUCUCCUUCCGUAAGUACCCCUCCCUUGAUCCUUGGAUGCGCUAAGGACACCAGUGAUAGCGAAGGUAUUUUGGGUAUGAACCGCGGGCGGGUUUCAUUUGCUUCCGAAGCCAAAAUCACAAAGUUUUCUUACUGCAUCCCCGCCCGCCCGGCUCAAACCGGGUCUAAUCUGCCAACCGGGACUUUUUACUUGGGAAACAACCCGAAUUCCGCGGGAUUCCGAUACGUGGACAUGUUGACUUUUGAUCCAAGUCAACGCAUGCCCAAUUUGGACCCCCUGGCCUAUACAGUUGUAAUGUUGGGGAUAAGAAUUGGCGGGAAAAAGUUAAGUAUUUUACCCUCUGUUUUCCGGCACGACCCAAGCGGGGCGGGUCAGACCAUGAUCGAUUCCGGCUCCGAGUUCACGUACUUUGUGGACGAGGCUUAUACUAAGGUGAGGGAAGAGAUUGUGAGACUGGUGGGACCGAGGUUAAAAAAGGGCUACGUGUACUCGGGGGUAGCCGACAUGUGUUUCGACGGUCAUGACGUGGAGAUCGGACGGCUGAUAGGAGAUAUGGUGUUUGAGUUUGAAAAAGGAGCGGAGAUUGUGACGCCCAAAGAACAAAUUUUAGCUGAUGUCGGUGGUGGGGUCCGCUGCGUGGCAAUCGGGCAAUCCAGCAAGCUUGGUGCGGCGAGUAAUAUAAUUGGGAAUUUUCAUCAGCAGAAUCAAUGGGUGGAAUUUGAUCUGAGUAAUCGCAGAGUUGGGUUCGGUAGAGCCGACUGUAGCAGAUCAGUGUGAGUCAAUACAGCUAGCUGUUGAAGCUGCAAAAAGUCUUAUUAAACGCAAGAGGACAAAAAGGUCAUUUUCGUGAUAAUAGAAGGGUCUAAGUGAUAUGAACUAGUUUGGCAUGGCCCAUGCAAUUAGUGGUAUCAAUUUAACUUCCCUGGUAUAGAAAGUACUGUAUAAUGAUGUGAUAUAUGUUGAGAUUUAUAUAUAUAUAUAUAUAUAUAUAUAUAUACGAGGAUGUGAAAUAUAAUAUCACUUUGUCAAAA